CCUACGGGUGGCAGCAGUGGGGGAUAUUGCACAAUGGGGGGAACCCUGAUGCAGCGACGCCGCGUGGGUGAAGGAGUGCUUCGGCAUGUAAAGCCCUUUCGGCAGGGAAGAAGCAAGACGGUACCUGACCUAGAAGCCCCGGCUAAAUACGCGCCAGCAGCCGCGGUAAUCCGCAGGGGGCGAGCGUCAUCCGGAUUCACUGGGUGUAAAGGGAGCGGAGACGGUCAAGCAAGCCAGGGGUGAAAGUCCGGGGCCCAACCCCGGGACUGCCCUUGGAACUGCAUGGCUGGAGUGCGGGAGGGGGAGGCGGAAUUCCUGGUGUAGCGGUGAAAUGCGUAGAGAUCAGGAGGAACACCGGCGGCGAAGGCGGCCUACUGGACCGCGACUGACGUUGAGGCUCGAAAGCGUGGGGAGCGAACAGGAUUAGAUACCCGAGUAGUC
rnacentral:rRNA from 1 species